UAUGGCCAUAUCACAUUGAAACACCAGUUUUUGUAUGAUCACUGAAAUUAAGCAAUGUUGAACCUGGUCAGUACCUACAUGGGUGAUUGCUUGGGAAUACCAGGUGCUGUAAG